rnacentral:rRNA from 1 species
GAUGAACGCUGGCGGCGUGCUUAACACAUGCAAGUCGAACGAAGCAACUUGUCACGAUCCCUUCGGGGUGACGACUUGUUGACUGAGUGGCGGACGGGUGAGUAACGCGUGGGUAACCUACCUUGUACAGGGGGAUAACAGUUGGAAACGACUGCUAAUACCGCAUAAGCGCACAACGUCGCAUGACGUAGUGUGAAAAGUUUUUUCGGUAUAAGAUGGACCCGCGUCUGAUUAGCUAGUUGGUGAGGUAACGGCCCACCAAGGCGACGAUCAGUAGCCGACCUGAGAGGGUGACCGGCCACAUUGGGACUGAGACACGGCCCAAACUCCUACGGGAGGCAGCAGUGGGGAAUAUUGCACAAUGGGCGAAAGCCUGAUGCAGCGACGCCGCGUGAGCGAAGAAGUAUUUCGGUAUGUAAAGCUCUAUCAGCAGGGAAGAUAAUGACGUAC